UGGGGAAUUUUGGACAAUGGGGGAAACCCUGAUCCAGCCAUCCCGCGUGUGCGAUGAAGGCCUUCGGGUUGUAAAGCACUUGUGGCAGGAAAGAAACGUCAUGGGUUAAUACCCCGUGAAACUGACGGUACCUGCAGAAUAAGCACCGGCUAACUACGUGCCAGCAGCCGCGGUAAUACGUAGGGUGCAAGCGUUAAUCGGAAUUACUGGGCGUAAAGCGUGCGCAGGCGGUUCGGAAAGAAAGAUGUGAAAUCACAGAGCUCAACUUUGGAACUGCAUUUUUAACUACCGGGCUAGAGUGUGUCAGAGGGAGGUGGAAUUCCGCGUGUAGCAGUGAAAUGCGUAGAUAUGCGGAGGAACACCGAUGGCGAAGGCAGCCUCCUGGGAUAACACUGACGCUCAUGCACGAAAGCGUGGGGAGCAAACAGG
rnacentral:rRNA from 1 species